rnacentral:tRNA from 1 species
UAGGAAGUGGUGUAACGGAGGCACAGAGAGUUUUGAUCUCUUAGGGUGGGGUUCGACCCCCUUCUUUCUAA